GAUGAACGCUGGCGGCGUGCCUAAUACAUGCAAGUCGAGCGAACGGACGAGAAGCUUGCUUUUCUGAUGUUAGCGGCGGACGGGUGAGUAACACGUGGAUAACCUACCUAUAAGACUGGGAUAACUUCGGGAAACCGGAGCUAAUACCGGAUAAUAUUUUGAACCGCAUGGUUCAAAAGUGAAAGACGUUCUUGCUGUCACUUAUAGAUGGAUCCGCGCGGCAUUAGCUAGUUGGUAAGGUAACGGCUUACCAAGGCAACGAUGCAUAGCCGACCUGAGAGGGUGAUCAGCCACACUGGAACUGAGACACGGUCCAGACUCCUACGGGAGGCAGCAGUAGGGAAUCUUCCGCAAUGGGCGAAAGCCUGACGGAGCAACGCCGCGUGAGUGAUGAAGGUCUUCGGAUCGUAAAGCUCUGUUAGUAGGGAAGAACAUAUGUGUAAGUAACUGUGCACAUCUUGACGGUACCUAAUCAGAAAGCCACGGCUAACUACGUG
rnacentral:rRNA from 1 species